GUGUGCUUAGAAUUUUGAAAUAAUUGGCAGAUAUUCUAAUACUUAAUUCUGGUCUUUGAAAUUGGGUGCCGGUUUUUCUCAUCACAAUGAUAUUUCAAUAUUUUCCCACAAGAUAUUUUUUACCAUAUUGUUCAAUAGCACGGCCUUUACUUUUUCCUACUUCCUUAGGUAGAGUUAACCGUUACGUAGAUGAAUUUUACUUUUCUUUGUAUGUCCCUUUUAGUCAGAUAGCUCUUAAACGUUUUUACGUUUCAACACAUCUCUGAUAAAUGUUUAAAAAGCAUUUAGGAAUAAGAAUUAGGGUUAUCUCCCGUUUCUUAAAAACUCUCAAUUAUAAAACAGUGAUAGAAACUUUCUGGAUUUACCUUCAUUCGAAACGGUCAAAAACCAUAAAGGAGUAAGUUUG
rnacentral:lncRNA from 1 species